rnacentral:snRNA from 1 species
GUGCUUGCUCAGGCAGCACAUCUAAUAAAUUGGAUUCGAUACAGAGAAGAUUAGCAUGGCCCCUGCAAAAAGGAUG